rnacentral:lncRNA from 1 species
UUUUUUUUCAACUUGGCCCACGUGACGUACAGACCCACCACAAAUACAAAGUUCCUCUGUCCACUCGGACAGAGUCUCCUUUGUAUUUACACGGCGUACCAACAGCUACAACAGGAUCUCAACUACAGUCUACAUUUACCAAUCAACGACCAAUCAUGCCAUGCAUUUUUAUACAACUACUGAUCCUUAGAAUGAUGAAUGCCUCUAAACACUCUAUAGGCGCUGGAUGAUGCGAUGCACAGUACAACAAUCAUCCUAUUUAAAAGUGCUCUCCACUCGGAAGUUUUGUUUUUAAAUCUAAUUCAAUCAUUCACCAAAAUCAUUCGAAAAUCCUUUUAAAACUGUUUUCCACUCGGAAACUCUAUUUUGAAAACCGACUACCUCGAGGGGUAGAAAACCACGAUGCAUAAAAACAUAAAUACACGAACUAAAUAUCUAUAAAAUCAAAUCCAUAGAUCCACAAAUCUCUAAUCACAUGCAUAAAAGAAAAUCGCCAACUGAAUAGUUUACAAACAUUCAAACAUCAUAGGGAUCAUCUAACUGAACCAUUUAUUACUAAAAUUACUAAAUGCAUAAAUACAAAUAACCCCGGUGAUGGUUGCUAUGGCAAGCUAGCUAGAUCGUCCUCUCGUCGUGCCCAACACCAACUACUUGCCCGAAAUCACCUGGGGAAAUGGGGGGCGAGAAACCGCAAUCAAGGUUUCCCAGUGGGUACGACGGAGCUACGGAGGGAAGCCGUAAUCACCGGAAACCAAAGGAGAUAGAUAAACAAGUAUAUAUGCUGAUAUGAAGAAACUAUAGUUGUUAAGGAUUUUUUAUGUUGGCGGUUUUCAUGAAGUUCAAAUGGAGUCUUGAAGCUUUAAAGACGGUGAUUGAUGAGAAGAUUGGAUUUUGACGACUAAAGACUCAUUUGCAAUGCUCGAGAUCUCAGGUAUGAAAGAUAAAUAGUUCGUGGUGAAUUUCUAUUGUUAAAAUGUGUUUAGAAAACUUAGUUUUCUUUGCUAUUGAAUAAUCUGGACAAUCUGAACCUAUUCUGGUUCAGGGACCGCUCCCUAAACAAGAGACCGGUCCCCGUAGGUCUUCUCGAUCCCUGCAAAAAAGAUGUAAGAGACCGGUCUGUGGAACGAAUGACCGGUCCCCGUACACUGGACUCUUUGCUACUCAGGGAGGGACCGGUUCCUACAGCGAAGGACCGAUUCCCGUAGCCUGUAUUUUUGUGUACGCAGAGAGGGACCAGUCUCUAGAAUGAGGUACCGGUCCCCGUAGCUUGGUUUUUCUAUGCGCAGAGGAGGACCGGUCUUUGGAACGAGGGACCGGUUCCCGAAGCUUAUGUUUUUAGCUACGCAGAGAAGGACCGGUCUUCACAACGAGGGACCGGUCUAUGUAAUCUGUGGUUUUUGCUACGCAGCGAAGGACCGGUCUCUGGCUUGGAGGACCGGUCCCCCAAGGAUCGGUCUCCUCGGGAAGACCGAAUCCUGAGACCGUUGUCAAUCUUUAAAAUUGUGUUUUUGAAAUUCUAGUCGAUCUAGCAGUCUUCUAAACCUAUAUAUAUGAUAUAAGGAGCCCAUAUGAUGUAAGUUUAGAGAGAAAAGCUUUUUGAAACCCUAAGAGCUUGUUUUAGAGUUUUCGAUCAAUGUUUUGAAAAUCAAGUUUUUGGUUUUGAUCACCGAUUCAAUUCUUCGAUUCCAAUUUCAAUGGUUCUUUAAGAAUUAGAACGGUGAUGAACUAAUUAGGGUUUCUCCUCACAUCAUAUGUUCUUUCUAAGUGUUUCAAUCACCACAAAUUGUCAAUCGUAACGAGCUUCGGAUGGAGCGGAUGCGCAUGGAUCUCGGGUGAAGCCGUGGAUUCGGUGGGCGUUUUGUGGAUUCGAGGCGUGUUUGCUGCGAGGGCUUGCAGCGUGAUCGGUUGAAGGAGUUCGAUCAAUCGACCACCGGCGAAGAUAAUCUACAAUGAGGAUUCGGUAAAUUGAGUUGUGUAUUUUCGGUAAAUCACUUGUACUCAAUUGUUUCUAUAGUGUAUUUUUCGCGUGAUUGGUCCCGUGGGUUUUUCACUCCGGAUUGGAGUUUUCCCACGUUAAAUCUUGGUGUUUGGUUUUAUUUUUCGCUAUUUACUUUUAUUUUGCAUCGAGAGUUUUAUUUUUGCCAUUUACACCUAUUCACCCCCCUCUAGUUGUUAUUUACCUUUUACAUCCUUGGGAUCCAUAUCUUACAAUAGUAGCAAUAACAGAUAAAUAAGGAGCAAUAAAUAAACUUGCUACUGUAUAGAAAAUAAUGCUAAGAAUGCCUCAAGGUAAUCAAACCAAAACUGUACCCAAUCUGGUGCCUGCUAUAUCGGUCCGCAAACCUCAAGCGCUGCCUGUCACUAAUCUGCACCGACCUGAUUCAUCCAUCCCACAGGACGACCCAUCCGGAUAAGUACACCUCCGAUCGGUGGCCAAACCGAUCUGGUGUCAUGAAUACCCCCAAGUGUUGUGACUAAGUCAUGCUAAUAUGCUCAAACAAAAACCGGCUGAAGCCGGUGACUAGGCCAAAGCCAGAAACAAGGGCGUACAACGCCGAACCAUAAUAGAUAUUAGGGCGUACAACACCGAACCAUGAUCAACUAGAUCGAAACACACGACAAGAGAGUCGAUGUGUUGCCUGGACCCAACGUCCACAAAGAUGCAAAGUACAAAUGCAAACCUGCUUUACAUGUCUAUCAACCACAAACCGAUGCAGCCAAGAAAGUAAGAUAUACGAAUGAUAAACAAGCAAUGACAUGUAGAGACUAUAAUGCUAGAAUAGAAAAACAAGGAAAGGUAAAACGAUCUCACCGACUACCAGCUCGAAGCACCCACCUGUACUACUGUCACACCUAUCUCCCAACUGUACACGAUCGUCAACCGGACCUGCGAAGAUCCACCGGGUCAGUAACCAACCCACUCACCCAAAUUACGAGACUCACAAACCCCCACACAAGUCCCUGAAUCGGUCUUCCCAAAACCGAUCACCGUAACUCAUCGGAAGUCCCGAAAAGCACACCAGGACGCCGUCGGGACCCACUAAGUGUCCCGAAACUCACCAACUCAUGCCACGAGCCACCCGCUGCCACAAAACACACCGAUUUGGAUGUCUUGGCAGCAAACAUAAGGUAACACAAACCAACAAUUAUCGUCGGAUAAUUAUUCGGAUCCGGGUUUUCGGAAGUGUCUAUUUCGACACCGGAACCGACCGUCACUCACCCGUCACCACCGAACCCACAAUAUGAUGAUGGUGACCAGCUAACAAGGCUCAGCGACAAUUCACAGGACAACCAAACAACGUCGGAAGAAAUCCGAACCGAAACCGCGUUCUUUCGGCGAAUUUUGCCGAAAAACGCACCGAAAUCGACUUUUCGAUUUCCGCGAAAGCUAUCGGAUCAUCAACAAUCAGUCCAGAGGUCACCACACACACAUACACAUUGCCCACAGUUGCACAAAAGCGCUUGUAUUUACAUAAAAUCCCAACAUUUUAUGUAAAUCAAGCGAUAAUAUGGCUCGUUCAUGCAAACCGAGGACUUUCGAGGCCCACCGAGACACGCACUGAUAGGUCUCGAUGUGCCGGAGGCCGUGUUCACGAUCCGGAGCACGACGGCCCACUGUGGGAGGCGUAGGAGCGACCGGAAAGUUCUGCGAACAACGCGCAGUCAGGAAAAGUCGCAUCGAACAGGCCGAUACGACAUCCGUUGAUCCAAAGUAAGGUGAGCACUGUGAUCAACACAAUGGAGACAACAAACCCAUCAUUUCGUUUCACCUCGAUCGGUCACGGAUUUGCGACGAAAUCCAAUCUCUCUUCAAAAGACGAAAAGAGACACUUAUACAUAUAAACAUGUAUUUUCAGAUUUUCUCGAAAUCCGUGGAUCAAACCCAAAAUCCGUCAGCGCUAUUAGUUCCAGAAUAGCCGAAUCGUUCGAAACGAACUAUUGGAUCGCUAUGAACGGAGUCCGAUACGCGCUAGAAGCCAACUUCACACCGUGGCUUCUCCGGAAAACUGAGUUACUAUUCACUUUAAUUGAAUCUUAGAGAUUGCGUAAAAUCUCCAUUCUAACUCGUUUUCUCCGGAAACUUGACAAGUGCUUUUGUAAUUAAAUUACGCACAAAAAUAUCGUCAAUAGAGAGUUUAGCUACACUGCCAAAAUCUCAGUCCUUAUAUUAUAUCAAUCCGACACGUUCAACCGACACCUGCGUAUACCAUGGCGCGACCAAAACAUCAGUUCCACAAUCGGCUUACCGAACUAAACUGAACAAUAACCGGCUCUCUAUAGAGAGUCACCACAACACACACACUGUCCCAAAAUGCACCACUUUGCACACCAAGUGCUCGACGACCGCUGAAUUAAAACCACAACAAAGCCUAAGAGGGCCGUUACAAUAAUCCGAAUGCCACUUUUGUGUCGAACCACACACGCACUAUAUAAUUGGCCCUACGAUGCUCACAACAUCGUCACAUCACCACUUGGUGACAUAAAGUCACCCACAAUGUGCCACGACACAAACGGAACAUCGGCCAUUUUGCCGAAUCCUGAAUACGUCGAAAUCCACAUAACUAACCGUGAUGUCACUACACCGAUGUCACUACACGUCACAAAGUGUCACGAGUAGCACCAAAAACCUCAAAAUCACACCCGUUGUCCCUAAACACCACAUUUUAGGUUUUAGGGGUAACCGCACAUAGGCAUGCAUCAGCGGGAACCAUAACUCCAAAGAUUGACUCAAAAAUGUGUUCCGCGAUACCUAUUUCGGUAUUCGAAUCACCCACAAGGCACUCGCUGCCACGAGGGGCAUAAAACACGAGGCUAUUCCAGCCAACAAGGCUCAACAAACAUCCUGGAUAGUAACAACAUCAAUUUCGUGAAAACAAAACCGAAAAUCGAACUAUCGACCCACAAUCAACUCGAUUCCCUACCAAAACAACCAUGGGAGGUUUCUCAUACCUUGGAAAAUAAGUCCGAACCUCCAAAUUGCACAACACUGCUGCUCAACACUAUCCACGACGCACAAAGUGCCGAAAUGUCCAAGUCGCCCCAACAUUAUAUGUAUACAACAUCUAUAAUAGAAGAAAGUGGGGUUUCGGUGUAAUUUACCAAGUUUGCGCAAUCCGAAAGUGAACCAACAAUGCUUUGGGUUUGAAGACAUGCCUUUGGCAACAAUGGACCAGUGUCUAAGUCACCCCAACGAUUGUCGUCCGUCGGAGAGCAAGAAAUAGGACGUGCAUAGCCGAUUUUGAGUAUGCGAUGGGUUUGCGAUUCCACCGGUCGCUCAAUUCACACCAGCGAACCGAGCACCGCGUAGAGGAUUUCCUAAUGAUCGCCGUGCUCCAAAGAAACCCGAGUUUCGAUCAACGGAUUGACCGCAAAAGCCAAAAUAAUGAAUCGUCAAUUUACCAAACACCUUGGCAGGCAAGAAAGAAGACAUCUAUUUGGAGCACUGUAACCUGAAACACAGGGAAGCACGGACUAGUACUUAUGCCCAGAAGUGUCGUUCUCACCAGUGGAUGGUUGCCGGAGGCGCCUGAUGGCCGAAAUAGUGCCCUCGAUCACUACCAAGUUGACAAAAGUAGAAACAAUUCAACCGCAACAAAGAAAGAUUGCAAGGCCACUAUAGGAAUUGAGGAAGGUCGGCCCAAAGGAGGGGGGGUCGGGAGCACGCUUGCCACUGGCGGAGCAAGCUAGGCUUCAACACAGGACCACCACCAACACAGGAACUGCAAUGACCAGUGAGUUGUAGAUAAUUAUCGAGGUAGUCAAGGGAGAUGGAAGGGACCCCUUGCCGGCGGGGGACAAAAUCCAGCGGACGGCGACAGCCCUCGGGGCUACGGAGGCUGCAGAUGGAGCAAUGGCCUAGGUCGUGUGUGAUAUGGAUCCCAAUGAUCUAAAAGGUAAAUAACACCUAGAGGGGGGAGAAUAGGUGUAAACGGCAAAACCAAAAUUCUCGAUGCAAAUUCAAACUAAAUGCGAAAAAUUAAAAUCAACACACCGAGAUUUUACAUGGAAAAACUCCAACUCGGAGUAAAAAACCCACGGGACCAAUCACACGAAACAAUCCACUAUUAAAAAUUGAGUACAAGUGAUUUACCAAAAUACACGACCUAAUUUACCGAAACCUCGUUGUAGAUCGUCUUCGCCGGUCCUCGAUCGAUCGAAGUCCUUCAACCGAUCACGCCACAAAUCCUCGCAGCAACAACGCCUCGUCUCCACGAUGCGUCCACCGAAUUCACGGCUUCACGCGAAAUCCACGCGCACACGCUCCAUCCGAAGCUCGUAGAGAUUAAUGAUUUGUGGUGAUUCAAAAACUUAGAAAGAUCAUAUGAAACGAGGAGAAACCUUCUAAUUCAUCACCGAGUCGAUUCCCAAAAAACCAUAAGAUUUAGAACCAAAGAAUCGAAUCGGCGAUCAAGAAUGAAAAACUUGUUUUUCAAAACAUAGAUCGAAACUCACAAAAACAAGUUUUAGGAUUUCUAAAACGUUUUCUUUCUAAGCUCCUUUCAUAUGAUACUCCUCAUAACAUAUUUAUAGGUUUAGAAGACUUCUAGAUACAUUAGGAUUUCAAAAACAUGGUUUUAAAAACAAACGACGGUCUCAGGGUCCGGUCCUCCCGGAGGGUCCGGUCCUCCAAGGUUUGGUCCUCGAAGCUAGGGACCGGUCCCUCUGCGUAUUAAAAAAAAACAAGCUACGGGUUCCAAUCCAUCGCUCCAGGGUCUAGUCCCUCACAGCGAAACUUAAAUUUCAAUGUACGGGGUCCGGUCCCUCUGCCCACGGACCGGUCCCUCGCAGUCAUCCAGCUGAGAAGACCUACGGGGUCCGGUCCCUCUGUCCAGGGACCGGUCCCUGAACCUUGAAAGGCUCAGUUUUGUCCAGAUAUUACAUUUUAAAACCAUCCUAAGUCUUCCAAACACAUUUAUGAACAAAAAAUCUCACCACAAAUUAUUAACAGUCAUACCUGAGAUUCCGAGCAUCACAAACGAGUCUUUUGAUCUUGAAUUACUAAAUCGUCUCUUCAAUCUUUGUCUUUAACUCUUCAAGACUCCAUUCAACUUCACAAAAUUCGCCAACUUAGAAAAAUCCUUAACAAUCUCCCCUUUUGGCGAUUUCGCGACAAAACUCACUACAAUGCCCAUACAAAUCUCAAAAACAAAGAAAUAGAAGAUUAUCGCAAUCACCUAACGACAAUCUCCUGCAUGAUCGAUCCAACAAAAUAAAAAUUAUAUUUUUCACAUCCUAACACAAACUCUAUGACUUAGACAUAACAUGGAGUCUUGAUGUCUUGAAAGUUCCUGCAAAAACAUUCUCCAAAAUACACAGUCAAAAUUCAAUCACUUUCAUAGUCUAAGCCAUUCACAAGCUAAGCAAGAUCUAAACAAAAACUAAGUCAAGUUCUACAAAAACUAAGUCAAAUUCUAAACAAAAACUAAGUCAAAGUCAAGCAUCAUCAAGCAUCAAAGUCAAGCAUCAUCUCCUCCUUUUUGUCAGAAAACGCCAAAACGACAAAAGGAGGUAAACCCAAAGCAUUCAAUCCGAAUCUGCACCCGAAGGAGGUAUAUCGGCACUGCAACACCCCAUAUUGUCAAAUAUAGCUUUCAUAAGCCUGGAGAAUUUGCCGAGCUUCCUUGUAAUUCGAGCUUGCUCAGUUGUAAUGCAUUGCAAUUCAAUGGAAAUCCGCUCUUGCUCAAUGGAGAGUCUCUACUGCUCACGAUAAACCGAGGAAACCGACAUAUCCUCAGAAACAUCCUCAGAAGGCUGUGAAGGGCCUGGAGCAGCAGGAAGUGGAGUGGAGCACUGCUGUGCAGAACUACGUGGAGGAGAACACCGCGUAGGAGAGCGGAGCUGAACUAAAGACUUGAUGAAAGUAGUCUCACUUAUCAUGCCAAGACUAUGCUCAUAUGAAACAUAUCGAGUAUCCACCCCAUGACUCCACAGAAUGCGCAAAAUGAUCAUCGGAUAUGGCAAACGCUCAUUCUGACUAGAAGUCUUAAUAUCCUUCGCCAUCCUAAGCCAAAUCAGGAAGGGAACAUUGAGAUUAAUCCCUCGGGCACGUACCACAUCCGAGUGUCCGAGCAGAUACAUAUAUAAAAGUUGCUCCCAUCUAACCACCUUCGUAUUCAUUAAAGGCAAGAUGUUGUAACAGACAACAAAAUUUAGAAAUCUGUACUCCACUUUCAACUCCUUGGACAUAACAGAAACACCAGUGGAGACCGUGUCGGGCACACAAACACCAUUCACGAUUCGGCGCCAGUCCUGAGUUGAAUCAAAACCAGCAUGCAAGUAAUCCACACCGUCAGUCCUAGCCUCCAUGUUAAGAACAGAAGCCACAACAUCUGGCGUAAUAUUCAAAGCCACACCACGGACAGACGUCUUGAAAGCAUACGGGCCACCUUCAGAAUCUUCCAAAUAGCCCGCCCGCAUGUAGAAUUCCUGUAUCAACUCUAAACAAUAACCGGUCUGUUCGGAAAUAUUGCAUAUCUCAUAAAGAUCGCCGUUGUUAAAAAGAGCUUCAAAAGCGGGCACGUGUUCAACCAAGUUUUGAACGCCAAUAGCAUGCUCACCAACACACUGUUUUGAUGAAUACAUGGCAUGCCGUUUCGGAUCAACUGAUGCUUCUUGUGGAAUACUUCGGCGUGGAGGGUCGGAAGCCGGUUCAUGAAUCUCAACUCCACCAGUUUUUUCUUACCACGGGUCGAAGGCAAUUUCCCCUUUCCCUUCCCUUGACCCGCGGGCUCUUUUGCUUUCUCCUUUCCCUUUUUCUUGGAGAGAACUUCAGGAGCCAGAGCUUCCCAGUCAGUCGACUCAGUCUCUGACUCCUCCCUGGGGGCAUACUCAUUGCCCACAUCCUCAGCUGGUUGCUGAGCAGAGGAACGACGGCGCUUACCACCACCACCACCACCAACCAUUAAGAACAAAAGAACCAGAAGCAGAGAAGACAUCUUGAAAGAAACCCCUAUUUUAGAACAAUUUUUGAAACAAAUUGAACAUAUGAAUAUCACUCUUUCAUAAAUUUUCCUCAAAUUUCAGAAAAAUAUCUAGAGAAUCCUAGGGCCACACAUAGCGAUGAAUGAGCACAUUCCAACACAAAACAAUACGAAACAAUGCAAAAUAUCAGUAAAAAAUCCAUCAUUUCAAAAAAAAAUAGCAUGAUGUUUUUGAUGUGUCGAGAUGGAACAGAUCCGAGCAAAUAAAUGGAUAAAAUCAUGGAAAAUGACAAUAUGACAUGCUCUUACAAGUAUAGAUCGAGGAUAGAAACAAAAACACGAGAUUCAAGCACGAUUUAUAGAUCAAACACCAAAAAUCAUAAAACUAGCCACAUAUUCGGAAUAUUUGCAAGGAAAUAAGAAAGAUUUGAAAAUCUUACUGAAAAUGAGUGGUAAACCGAGGAGAAUCGAGGCAAAAUCACUCUGGAACCCUAAGGAGCUCGUGAGAGAAAUUUUAGGUAAAGUGAAGAACAAAGAACAGAGAACGAAAGGGUUUUCAUAUAUGACAUCAGGCGGAGGGUCUGAUCCUUCCAGCAAGGGACCGGUCCCCGUAGCGUUUAAAUCAUUUUUUUUUAUUUAUCUCAAAAAUGCCCAACAUCAGUAUCAAUAUGUGUGAAUUCCCAAUAACUUUUAAACUAAAAUUUCAAUAAUACGUUAAACAAAGUCUAGUUCAGACAACAUUCAAAAAUGUCAUAAAUUGAUUGAAUGACAAACCAAGUAAAGCCUAGAUGGAUAUAAUGUUGAAUCUAACACAUCAAACAAGAUCCAAAAACUAAUUGUAUCUUUCCAUCAUCACACCCGCUAAAAUAAUGAACAAAGAGAUCCCAAAAAUGUGAAAUCAAAAUAAUAUAAUCAAAUUGAGUUAUGCACAAUAUUUGAAUAAGGAAGUUCUUGUAAUAAUCAACCUUAUAUCACCUAGGAGAUAUAUGAGAUAUAUAACUUGAAUUUUAUCAUCUCCAAACCAUCUCGUGACCUGGUCAAAUUUUUCAGUCAUUCAAUUUCAAUUUUUUUUUUUAAAUUUUAAGAGAGGAUUAUCAAAAACAUGUGGUAGCUGUACACACUGUCCGGACGACCAGGGUGGUAGCUCUUUCCUACAUGUGGUGGUAGUUUUCACACUCCCUGAAGGGAUGUAACUCUUUCCACAUUUUGUAAUUUUUAAUAUCAAAUAUCAGAAAGACUCUCCCUAAAUUUGUGCAACCCCCAAGUCGAACAUAAUAUUGAGAAUUCAAGAAAUAGGGAAAAUAUUAUUCACAUCGUAGCAAAUAAUCAAAUAAAUCAGAAACAAUAUUUAAAGUUCGAUGCAUGAGGUGUUUAAUUUAACAGAAUAUACCAAAAAAGAAUUUAAAUAGUUUAGGCGUUUAAUAGAAAUGACAUAUAAGAAUAGAAUUGAAACUGACUAAGUAAAACACAUCAUGAAUCAAUCAAAGUCAUUUCAUGGGAUUCACAAAGAGAGCGAAAUACAAUCAUGAAAAAAAAAUAAAUUUGAAAAAUGCAAAGACGCAAAAUAUUUGUGCAUGUACCAUGGCCCAUAGAAUAUAGCUAGAUAGAAGGAUUCAUACCAAUAGCCUUUCGCAAAUGUAGAAAACGUUUUUGAUCUAAAGGCUCUGUUAAAAUGUCAGCAAGUUGAUCAUCAGUAGAAAUAUAUUCAAGUUGAAGAACUGUCACGCACUGAGGUCCCUUUUUAGUUUAAAAACACAGCAGAAGUGUUAAAUUUUUUUUUUUUUGUAACCUGACCUCGAGGGUAUGCCAGAUUCGCCACAAAUAUAAAAAAUCUACUAUUCACACGGACAGAGUCUCCCCUAUAUUUGCACAAAUAUAAAAAAUCUACUAUUCACACGGACAGAGUCUCCCUUAUAUUUGCACGGCGUCGCACAAGUACAAGAUGCAUACACAGUAUACAACUACCAGAACUGAAUAUACAACAUCCAUACAAUCAUAUAUUCAUACACCAUUCACCACAGGUUCAUAUACAGAGUAUAAUUAUAAAAUCACAACUAUUAGUUAAAACGUUUCCUAUCUGGAAACUGGUUUUGAAAUACUAAGUUAUAAAAACCAUAAGAAAAACCUUUUAAAACUAUUUCCCACAUGAAAAUCCUUUUUUUUUAAAACACGCUACCACAAGGGGUAGAAAACCAUUUUCAUUUCAUAGAAAUCCACAAAUCUUUAUUACCUUCAGAAAACUAACUGAAAUCUUAAAUAUUCAAACAAAAAUGAAAUACUGAAUCAUAUUAGCUGUCUAAGUUAUAUCAACAGAAAUAAGAGGGUAGCAACUAAACUAAACAAAUCGGGUCGGAAGCUCUAUCGACCGCUACGAACGUGUCUCACAUCACGUCUCAAUCCUCACUGCCCGCAAUACCUGAAAAAUAGUCGGGGAGGUGAGAACAUCUAAAUAUGUCUCCCCUCCCAGUGGGUACCGCAAGCCAACAAAGGCGAGGAGUACUCACGGGAUCAGGAAGAGAUAAACAAGAUCAUGAACAGAUAUAAUAAAUACAGUAGCUGAAAACUGAAAGGAAGUAGAACAAUAACCUAAUACACAACUACCGCUACUGUAACGAAGAAUUGUAUACAUACAUGGAUAUCAGAGCUAUAGUAGCAAGACAAGUGUAAAGAAAGAACUGUAAGUAUACAUGCAACAACCGCUACUAUAGUCAUAUGCAUCAACUGGACGAGUAGUCCAAAAUAUACCUAAUCUAAACCGUCGUGUCGGUCUAAGGACCUCAGGCAAAAGCCACUACCUGCUCACACCUGGCAUGUAACCCUAGCGCAAAAAGAACACCGCUGAGCUCACGGGUUGGAUGUACGACCACUUUUUCUGAAAAGAACACCUUUCUGCGGGGGAUCAACCUGUUGGUGUACGUGAAAUACACUCGAGCUGUGGCGAUCAAUGCGGAUAUGAUCAAGAGCCAACCCUCGGCAACUAGCCGACAAUCACCGCCCCACGGGCAAACCGACCGAUAGGUCAUCAAACUGUAUGGAAGCACAAGAACCGACCACUCAGGACAACUAGGAUGGAACAACUCAACAUCCUCCCAAAAGUAUGCAAGUACUGAUCAAUAGGUCAACUAAAGUAUAUACUCAAGAACUGACCAACAAGUCACCAGAGUGUAUAAUCCAGAACUACGGUCAGCCACUAGCCGACAAUCCUAACCCUCAGGUUACACUGACCUCAAAGGUCAUCAAAGGUCAUCAAACAAUGAAAGUCACGAACUGACUGACUAGGUCGCAAACAUAUCAAAUAGUGGAUCUGAGUAAACUUUAAUCCUCCGUCGGCAACUAACCGACAAUCCUACCCCUCAGGAUAUACCGACCUCAACGGUCAUCGAACAACAGAAAUCAAGGAACCAACCGAAUAGGUCAUAGUACUAGAUACCAGAACCAACCAACUAGGUCCACAAUUACCAAGUAUAGAUAAAGCUACUCUACUCCUACUCAUGAUACUAAGCAUGCAAACAACGAGUAGAGUAUAAUAGGAUAACAAGGGUGCAAGGCUCAAUAUAUGCACUACGCAAUAACAAUAACAAAAGAGUAAGGGUAAGAGGAUAUCACCGAGCGUACACCACUGUACCGACUUCGGAUCGUAGUAGCCACCUGUAAGAAUGUCGCGCCUAUCUCCUGACUGCGAAAGGACGUCAACCGGACCUAAGAAGGCUCCACCGGGUUAGUAUCUAACCCACAACUAAUAGCCACUGAAUCCACAACCCCACAAACAAACCCACGGAGAUCGGUUUCCCAAAACCGACUACUGUAACUCGUCGGAAGUUUCAAAAAUCGCACCGGGACUCUGCCGGGACCCACUAACUGUCCCGGAACUCACCAACUCAUGAUAUGAGUUGCCCGCUGCCACUAAACACUAUUAUCCAAGGAACUUGGCAGCAAACACAAGGCCUCUGUCACGCCCCGGGACCGGCGGAGGCCCUCCCGGUAGCGUGCCCAGACCCGCCAUAUGUCUACACAUAUAAGGCGUCUACGAUAAAAGCGGAAGUAAAAGCAAGAGAUAGAACAAAUAUAAGAAAUGAAAUAACUAGCAACUAGUGAUAUCAGAGCAAGUAAAGUUCUAUCAUCUACACCAAAGUAAAGAAAUAAAGCUAGUCAAACAAAGNUCUCUCCUUCCAGGGACCGGUCCCCGAGAGUAAAAACUCUCAGGACUUGUCCAAAGUUCCAGAUUUCGAACUUUUCGGGUCGGGGAACAUUUUACAACCCUCCACCAAGUGUGGAAAAGCUCGAAAUACAACCAAACACUCGAACCUCGCAAUUUGCAAAGGUCCAGUGUGUUACAGCCUCGCAUCGAAGCGAUUAUCAUCGACUAAUCGUUCAAAUCUUGGUUCCCUGAAGUGUCGAUUUCGACACCGGAACCCACCGUCACUCACCCGUCGCUUUCGAACCCCCGAAACAACGCAGGUGACCAGCCAACAAGGCUCAACGACGCAACAAUUGCUCAUGAGGCACCGUCGGAAGAAUUUCGAACUAAAACUGCGUUUCGUCGGCGGAUUUCGCCGAAAAACGCGUCAGAAAUCAAUAUUUGAUUUCCAGAAGGGCUUGGGGCCUUGGACAAUCAGUCCAGAGGUUACCCACUACCCACACAUGCUGCCAACAGUAGCCGCGACAAACAAAAUUGCAUAAAAGCCCUCCCGAUAGCAUGAAAUCACUUUAUUUCAUGCUAUUUUCGGGCUUUUAUGGCACGACCGUGCAAUCUGAUAACCUUUCUGCUCCGCCGAGACACCCACUGACAGGUCUCGGCGUGCCGGAGGCCAUGCUCACCUUUCGGAGCACUGCAGUCCCUGUGGCAUGCGCACAAGCGACACGAACAUUAGUGAAACAGCGCGCACAGCGCCUAAGUCACGUCUAACUCGCUAACCACGGCAUCUCUGACCCUGUCGGAGGUGAGCAUGAUGUUCAGCACGAAUCUAAGAUCAUCGUGGUCACUUCACGGGGUGUCGAAGUGUCCUCGGAUCACCGAAAAGGUGACCGAAACUCUAAACUACAGUGCUGUCAAUCUAAAAACAACUUACCCGAGCAGUGGGAGCUAGGGUUGGUCGUCGGCAGCCGGACGGCGUGCGCCUCGGCUGGGGAAGGGUGCGGACGGUCGAAAGGGUCCGAGGCAGGUGUUGGCUGGCGGCGGGAGGCGGCCGGUGGCCCGACGGAGGAGAUCAAGCCGCGUCUUGUUGUCGGGUUCUAGGGGUUAGCAACGGCAAGGCGGCAGCCGGAGGAGCUCGAGGUGACGGCGAUCCGUCGCCGGAGGCCGAGGGUAAGGUGAUGCGCCCAACGGUGGGCGGCGGCGGCACAUGGAGACGCUGUGGGCUCAAGCUCGGCCCGCACGUGUCCUAGACGGCCGCAGGGAGCUCGGGCGGCGGCCGGCGGCAUGCGAGGAUGGCGGGGAUGCUCGCAGGAGGUCGCCGGAGGUCACCGGAGGACGGCACGACCGAGGGGGAGCGGCGACGGCACGCGAAGGCAGAGAUCACCCAGGCUCAACCUGGUUGACCGCGGGUAGCCACACGGAUCUUGGGCGGCGCCGGCGGCGCACCGGGAUAGCCGGGGACGCAUGCCGGAGGUCGCUGGAGGCCGGAGGAAGUUGGGGCGGCCGAUCUAGGGCUGCCUUACCAAGCGGGCCCCGAGCUCAAGUUAGCUCAGCCUAAGCUGACCCAGGCUAGCCGCAGCUUGCACAGAGGGCUCCGGCGGCGCGCGGGGACGGCGGGGGCCGACGGGGACGGCGCCGGAGAUGGGCCUCGGCUAGAGGAUGAAGGCUCCACGGUUUAGGGUGACAUCCAGAGGCCGACAGCCACAGAGGUGGGAACAAAUAGAAAGAGGAGUUAAGAGGGAGGUUCUUCCGACGAUCGGAGCAGCUUACCGGCAAGGGAAGGGAAGGGCUGAGGUCAGUUAGGUUUAGCUGGGGGGUGAUGGGUCGGCUAGGGCUAGGGUUUGUGCAUGAAAACCCUAGCUACCCAUAUAUAUAUAUACUAUGGACAAUUUGCAGAAAACCGCUCCCAAAGAUAAAUAUUUAUGGUCUAGCCCGUAACAGCACGUGCACUUUGCACGCCCGCACCUCGACGUUUGAAAUCGCACCAAACGGUACAUAAAUUAUUGGACCUUUCGCAAAAUUUUUAUUUUUGCCAAUUCGACCCCUCAGCGAAUAUCUCACGAUUCCCAAAGUUUCGUCCGUCGGAUUUUUGAACGGAUUGCACCAACGCGUUCAGCACGACUGGAGCAUCGAAUCUAGCUUUUCGUUUCAUCCAAUUUGGUCGCCAAUUCGCGACGAAACCAAUCCUCUUUGUUUCCACCACUAAUACAUAUAUAUGUAAAACCAAUCAAACCCCUUUUUCUCGUAAACCGUGCAUCAGAACCCAAAUCCAUCAGCGCCAUUGGGUCCAGGAUAGUCGAACUGUCGAAAACGAGCUAUUGGACCACUAUAAUCGGAGUCCAAUACGCACCAGAAGCCAUCUCCACUCGUUGGCUUCUCCGGAAAACCGGAGUUACGAUUCACUUUAAGUCAAUACAAAAGUUCCUGUAACUCCUCCAUCCUAACUCGUUUUCUCCUGAAACUUGACGAGUGUUUAUGUAAUUAAAUUACACAAAAAAACAUCGUCAACACAGAGUUUAUAUGUACAACAAAAAUCUCAGUCUUUACAAGAACAUUAGAUUCAACUAAAUCUCUUAAAAAGUGGUAUCGAAGUUCAAUGUGUUUGUUCUAGAAUGCAAAACAGGGCUUUUUGAAAUAUUAAUGGCACUUGUGUUAUCACAAAGAAUUAUAACGAUGAUGGAGGGGAUCCGAUAGUCACUCAAUAAACUUUUCAUCCACAAUAAUUGAGUUGAGCAACUACCGGACGCAAUAUAUUCAGCCUCAGCAGUGGAGAGGGCAAUGCAAUUCUGUUUCUUGCUAUGCCAUGCAACAAGACAAUGGCCAAGAUAGAAACAGGCUCCACUUGUACUUUUCCAGUCAUCCAUAGACCCGGCCCAAUCCGCAUCUGAGUAUCAAAUCAAGUCUAGAGAAGUUCCCUUAGAAUACCAGAUACCAUAAACGGUUGUACCUUUAACGUACCGAAUAAUCCUUUUAACUGCUUUCAGAUGAACUUCCUUCGGAUUGGCUUGAUAGCGAGCACAAAUUCCUACACUAAAAGCUAUAUCCGGUCUACUCGCUGUUAAGUACAACAAACUCCCAAUCAUACUCCGAUAGAGUUUUUCAUCAACACUCUGUCCCUCAGCAUUCAAUCCAAGUCCUUUAUUAUUUGUACCCAUCGAAGUAACGUAAUCUUUAGCACUGUCCAAUCCAAAUUUCUUUACCAACUCUUUUACAUACUUGGAUUGGCACAAGUGAAUUCCAUCUUUUGAUUGUUUAACUUGAAAUCCAAGAAAAUAGGUAAGCUCCCCAAUCAUCGACAUCUCAAAUUCACUCGUCAUCAAUUUCGCAAAAUCAGUGGCAUCCUUAUCUUUAGUUGCGCCAAAAACAAUGUCAUCAACGUAAAUUUGUGCCACAAGAAAGUCAUUUUUUGAAUGUUUUACAAAAAGAGUUAUAUCCGCUCCCCCUCGGUUGUAGCCUUUUGCUAAAAAAUAUUUUGUUAAACGUUCUUACCAUGCCCGCGGAGACUGUUUAAGUCCAUAAAGUGCUUUUUUCAAUCGAAAAACAUGAUCAGGAUAUUUUGAAUCUAUAAAACCUUUUGGUUGUUCCACAUAAACUUCUUCUUUUAAAAAUUCAUUUAAAAAUGCACCUUUAACGUCCAUUUGAAAAAAAGUGAUUUUAAAAUGACAGGCAAUAGCGAACAAAAUACGAAUUGAUUCAAGGCGAGCAACCGGAGCGAAUGUUUUAUCAAAAUCAAUACCCUCAACUUGUGAAUAGCCCUGAGCAACAAGUCUAGCUUUGUUUCGAACAAUAGUACCAUCUUCAUUUUUCUUAUUUUUAAUAAUCCACUUGGUACCAAUAACAUGUUGCUCAGGACGUGGCACUAAUUCUCAGAUAUCGUUUCUAGAAAAUUGACCAAGUUCUUCUUGCAUAGCAUUUAUCCAAUAUUCAUCAAGAAGAGCUUCAUCAAUAUUUUUAGGCUCAACUAGAGACACAUAACAAGCAAAUUCACACUGCAAUUGUCUCCUAGUUUUUAAUCCAGUCAGUGGAUCUCCAAUUAUAUUUAACAAGGGGUGAUCUUUCAUAGGUGUAAGUUCAGAAGAAGUGCUAGGGGUUUCAAGAGGUGCAGUUAAAUCAUGAGAUGCAACAGUUUCAAUAAUUUCAACAGUUUUAUCAAAUGGAGAAGUUUCAUCAUUCACAGACAAGUCAAAAGGAGAAUCAUCAUCAUCAUCAAUCAAAGUAGUCGAAGAAUCAUUCACAGAAGAACUUACAGAAGAAGCUUCAUCUACUUUUAUAUUACUUGAUUCUAUUACCGUCUUAGUAUGCAAAUUGUACGCACGAUACGCUUGACUAGUAGUAGAAUAACCAAGAAAAAUUCCUUCAUCACUUCGGGAGUCAAAUUUUCUAAGAUUUACACGAUCCCUCGGGAUAAAACAUCUACUCCCGAAGACAUGAAAAUAUUUGAUAUUCAAUUUUCUACCAUGCCACAAUUCAUACGGAGUAUUUAGAGUACCCGAGCGUAAAUAAAUUCGAUUGAUAACAUAGACGGCUGUAUUAACUGCUUCAGCCCAGAAGUGUAGUGCGACUUUCUUGCUAUGAAGCAUAACACGAGCCAUCUCUUGAACAACCCGAUUUUUUCGUUCAACCAUUCCGUUUUGUUGUGGUGUAUAAAGGGUAGAGAAUUCAUGUUUAAUGCCUUUUGAAAUACUGAAAUCAAUAAAUUUUGAAUUUAUAAAUUCUCGUCCUUGAUCACUUCGGAUCCGGACAAUUUUAUCAUUACGUUCAGUCAUAAGACGAAGACAAAUUUCAGAAAAGGAAUCGAAAGUAUCAGCUUUUUCACGUAAGAAAGCACUUCACACAAAGCGAGUAAAAUCAUCAACAAUAAGCAAGAUGUAAUGCUUUCCACCCAUACUUUGAAUCCUAGAAGGUCCCAUCAAGUCCAUGUGAAGUAACUCUAGAAGUUUAGAUGUCCCUAAGUGGUUCAAAUUCUUAUGUGCGGAUCUAGUUUGUUAUCCCAGUUGACAACCCCCACACACAAUGUUCUCUUUGAAGUUUAUCUUAGGUACAUCUCUAACUACCUCCUUCUUUGUUAUUCUAGAUAGUUCCUUAAAGUUUAUGUGACCUAGUCAUUCAUGCCAUAAGGUUUUAGUAUCUAGUGUCGCUAGGUUACAAUGUUCAGUUGAAGCACUAGGAACUACAUAACAGUUGUUCUGUGACCUAACACCUUUUAAAAAGAAAGAAUCAUCAUCAAGAGUCACAGUGCAUUCUUUAGUAGAAAAUUUAACCGAGUACACGUCAUCACACAAUUGACUUAUGCUUAUAAGAUUUGAUUUAAGCCCUUCAACAUAAAAAACAUCAUUCAAAGUAGGGCCAUCAAAGAUAGUGACUAUUCCUUUUCCAACAAUUUUCGAUAACCGACUGUCUCCAAAGACAACAAAUCCUCCAAAGAUUUUAUUUAAAGAUGUAAAACAGUUUUUAUCACCGGUCAAACGUCGUGAACAACCACUAUCUAAAUACCAAGAAGAAUUAUCAUAAGCAUGAGCGAUGUGUGAAUGACAAGGUAAGGAAAGAGUUCACCUUUGCGCACCCAAACCUUACGUGUUUUGGGUUGCGUUGGCCGACUUGAUUGAGACAUGAGUUGCUUGUCGACGAUUUGUGUAUUUAUCUUCUUAGGAUCAUCCUUCUUCGGUUUUCAUGUUUGCAUGGCCUUCGUUUUCAUCGGUGUCGAGGUACUCUUCGGUUUUUGUUUGCAAGAGCGUUUCACAUGACUUACAACACCACAUAGAUGACAAGUUUUGUUAGCAAAAAUAUUCUUAGGAGGGAUAAACUUACCGUAAACCUUGGGAACCGAUUUCAUCAAGUGUUCGUCAACUUUCUUCAUCACUUGAUCAACGUAAGUCCUUUCGUAUCCAAGUCCAAAUUUAUUGAUUUGACCAAGUUCUAACAUUUUAUCAAUUUUGCUAGACCCAGACGAAAAUUUAUUUAAAUCCGAUUUGAGUUGAAUAAUCAUCUUGGUGAAUUCUAUGUUUGAUUCUCUAGCUUCCGUAUAUUGCUUGGUAAGGAAAUUAAUAUUCUCAACAUGUGUUUCAUUUUCCUUCUCAAGCAAUGCACACUUGUCAAAUAAUGAGUUGUAGGACUUAGUCAAACCGCCUUUUUCCUGCGCUAGACUUUUUAUCAGUGAUUCCAAUCUAGUGUUGUCUUCUUCCAGAUCGUACAAUCUUCGCCGCGUCUUCUUGUUGUGUUUCGCCAUUUUCUUUGAUUCAACAACAAGUUGAUGAUAUGCGGUGGUCAUAUCAUCUUCCUCCGACUAUUCAUCUGAUGAGUUCUCCGACAUAGAUUUUUCAUGCAAAGGAGACAUAGAAAUAGAGUCAGUAGAAGCUAAACACAUAAAAGAAGAAUCAUGUGCAAUAAGUGCAGUGGCAUUAAUAUCCUCAUCACUUGAGGUUGACUCAUCAGUUGACAAAUCGUCCCAAGUAAUGGCUUGCAUCGCCUUCUUUUUCAAAAAAUUUUUAUUAGGACAAUCCAAUAUAAUAUGACCAAAUCCUUUACACCUAUAGCAUUGGAUUUAUCCUUCAACAUUCUUCUUUUCUUUUGAAAAAUCUUUUGAUGAUCUUUCGGAUUUUUUAAACUUAAAAGUACUUCCUUUUGAUUUCUUUUGCUUGGAGGAGGUCGAUUUGAACGGUAGUUUCUUCCUAAAGUUUCGACCAAACUUCCUUGUUAGAAGCACCAGUUGCUUUUCAAACUCCUCCAAGGUUACGUCUGGGUCCGAAUCGGAUGAUGAUGUCAAGUCGUCUCCUUUUGUUGAUUUUAAGGCCAUACCUGAAGCUUUAGAAGACAACUUGGAAGAAGAUGAAUUAGAAGAAAAAAUCAUUUCAUAAGUUUGAAGCGCACCAACUAAUUCCUCUACUUUUAAUUCAUCUUGAUGUUUUACCGCUUCUAUAGCCGCAACCUUUGGACGAAAUCGUUCGGGAAGGGUUCUUAAAAUUUUUCGAACUAUUUUAGGUUCAGAAAUCUUUUCUCCCAAGUUAGCACACGUAUUUACAAUAUCUUGAAGACGAGUAUAAUACUCAGUAAAAGUUCAUGUUCUUCGAUGUGAAUAGAAUCAAAUCUACUAGUUAACAUUUACAAUUGUUGAACCUUUACCAAGCUUGUACCCUCGUGUGUAACUUGUAAAGUGUCCCAAAUUUCUUUGGCGUGCACCCUGAAUCACGUGUAUCAUCCUUUGCCAGAUCAGAAACGGGAUGUUGAUGUUCAACCCAUGAGCCUGCUCGGGAUGACCAAGAAGAUAUAGCAAUACUAAUCUCUCCCAACGGAUCCUCUUCGUGCCGAUGGUUGGUUGAACAUUGUAGCUCAUGACCAAGGAUAGCAAGUGGUACUCAGGUAAUAAUUCCUUAGAUUCUAUGUAACCAUGAGUCAUGUGAACACCGGGCUUGCAUAUAGCUCCAAGAACGAUAUCCAAGUGAGUUGACGAUUGGAAUCCUCCUGAUGUAUAGAGAAUACCUGUAGUGUCCACAUGCAUUCCCAAGAUCUCUCCAAUAGUAUAGGGAGUAACUGGGACUCUCUUCUUACGCACAACAGUCUCAAAAAGAAAAGUGCCUGUCUCCUCGUCUUCAACAAGUACCUUUCCACGCAUAUAGAACUCCCGAAUGAGUUCCACAUAGAAGGGAGCCUUGGCAGAGACCCGUCCAACUGGCUCAAUAGGUGCGUGCUCUAGCAGUCGUCCAAAAGCAGGAACAUCCCGAAACAGGUCAUUGAAGUUCUCGAAGCGUUUAGCUAUGCACGACUUCGACAUAUAUAACCUUUGGCGUGCUGAAGGGACAUCCGCGGCUCGUUUUGUACGUCCCUCACGCGUACGAGAACCACCGCCAUGAGAUGAUUCGCCCACAACACCCUUUCCUUUAGCAGCUUGAGUCGCCGCUUCUUUUGAUUCUUCCUGCGAGCUUGCUUGAUACUCCGGAUAUGAACCGGACUCUCCUGUAGCAGCACGGUCUCUCUUUGAGGUUCCACGUCGUCCUCGACCACCACCUCGACCACGACCGGUGGCCAUAAGCACCAAAAGUAGGAUCACGAGCGAAAACGCCAUUUCCUACAUGAAAAUGAGCCAUUUAUGAAGAAAAUUUUGAAAUAUCUGUAAAAAUAGCGAAAAAAUAUCUGAUAAUCUUAGAAUGCAUACCAACGCUAUUUCCAACUCAUUCAUGCAAAAAAUUUCAUCAAAAAAUUGAUAUUGCACCAAAAUCCCGAAAUUCCAUGUAUUAUGAUAUAAGGAUCAUAGAUUAGCGAAAAAUAUAGCAUUAUAACCUGAUCUAAGUGUUCUAGAAGCAAGAUAAUGUCCUUAAGCACUGAUCUACAGCAAAAAAUUGCAUCAAAAACGAUUAAAAACAGAGAUUUAGCUUCAACUCGGAAUAUUUUCGAAAAAUAAACAUGAGCGCGAUGAAACGAUUAAAUCCAAGCUAAAUACUCACAAAUUUCUGAGGGAAAACGUGUAGAUCUGCAAGAGGAAGGCACCAGGGAUUUUUAGAGAGAGAAAGAGCGAAAUUUGAUUUUGAUUUGAGGCAAAAUGAAGCGCUAUACCCGGUUAUAAGCCGCUCGGGUACAAACCUUGUACUGGUACACGAGUUCUUGUACCGGUACAAGGACCAAAAUGUGAAAAUUUUUUUUUUAAAAAUUAUGCUUUAAAAAUCCAUCACAUUUAAAUAAAUUCAUACAAAUUAAGGAUUUAACUCCAAAAAUUAUUAUAAUGAAGGUAAAAUAUUAUAAGAUCUCAAAAUACAUCGAAACAUCCAAAUUUUAUUAUCAAAAAUGAUCUCAAGAUUCAAAAUCAUCAAGAUGUAACGGUUUACGAAAAAUGAUUUUAGAAAUUUGGCAAAAUUAACACCAAUUUGUCGCAAUCCGUUCAAAAUAGAGACACCGGAGGUGGCUCUUUGAGUAUCUUUUCAACUUACCACCUUAUAACUCCGAAAAUUCUAAAAUAGUCAAAUUUUUUUUCAACCUUUUUCGGUUACACAAUUUAAUCUUCAUGUGGUAGCUUCACACACUUGCCGGACGACCGGGGUGGUAGCUCUUUCCUACAUGUGGUGGUAGUUUUCACACUCCUUUUGGAUGUAACUCUUUCCACAUCUUUUUAAACAUAGGAGUUUUCUUUUUUUAAAAAAAAAAAUCAAACUCCCCCUAAAUUAGACAAUCUCACAAUUGAAAAUAUUUUGACAAACGCGAAUAUCUAUCUAUCAUAUUCAACACACACAACCAAGAUGAAUAAAUCAUCAAGAGAUCAAAUUUGAUUUCAAAAUUUUGAUGAAUAUAUGCAUUAAGAAAUCAUAUAUUAAAUUAUCGUCAAAAUAAUAAAAAGUGGAGUAAAAACGAUAAUUAAUAUGAAUUUAACUUAAUAUGAUUGUGAAGAUAAAACCCGUUUAAACAAUCUUUGAAACAUUUCUCUCCUCAAAAAAAAAGAUUCUGAAUUAUCUCCUCUCUCAAAAAUUUUGAAAUUCCCAAAUACCUUUCCUCAAAAAUGAUUUUUAACCGAAUAAAAACCAAAGCACCAAAAAUCGUCUAAACAUGUAAUGCAAUGAUUAAAAAUAUGCAGUAAGCACCUAUCAAAGCACUACACAAGAAAUCAAAAACAACUAAGACGAGAAGCAAGGAAAGAUAUCACCUUUCCGGAUCCAAACUCGUCGGAUCUUUGGUUUUCUCGGCUUGUCGACAUUUGGUGCCAUUUGCUUAGAUUUAAGAUCAACCGUUGGUGUUUUCUUCGCUUGAGGCUUCGGUUGAACUUGUCUUUUAGGCUUAGAAUUCCGGUUUGCAAUAGGAUUCGGUCGGAUUUUGCGUUGCGCAUUCAAUCGAUCUUUCUUUUGAUUCCUUGGUGGAUGUCGAGUUGAAGGUGAUGUCGAUUGAGGUUUAGACAUUGCCGAUUGAUUCUUUGUUUCCUUAUUUGAGCAAUUCCUUUUAAUGUGUCCUUUCAUGCCACAUUUAUGACAUACCUUCUCUUUCGAAAUUGUUGAGACUUUAGAAGUUGAUUUUGAAUCCUUCUCAACGUAUGUCCGUUCAUAACCAAGGCCCAUCUUGUUUGUUUGACCCAAUCCAAGCAUUUGAUCCAAUUUCUUAGAUCCCGAAGAAAAUUGUUGAAGAUCGGAUUGGAGUUGACGAACUUGAUUGGUCAAUAAUUUGUUGGAUGUAUGCAAUUCUUCAUAUUGAUGCUCCAAAAAUCCAACUUUAUCUUUAUAAGAGUUAAUCGUUGAUUCCGCUCCAUUAAGCUUCUCUUGGAGGUCCAAAUUAUUUUUCAAAAUUGAUUCUCUUUCCUCCUCAAGAGCUUUGUUCGUUGUCUUCAAGUUGUUGUUUUCCUCUUCGAGAUUCAACAAACGACGCCUCAACUUCUUAUUAAGUUUAGCCAUCUUCUUUGAUUCAAUAAGAAGUUGAUUGUAUGCUUCCGCUAUGUCGUCGUCGUUUGAUUCCUCCUCGCUUUCGCCAUUGUCGCUCGAAGAAUCAUGCGAAGAAAGAGAAAUAUUGGAAUUAGUAUCAAUGGAGGAUAAACACACAAUGUUAGACGAAGGCAAGGUAGAUUUAGCAAAUAAAGCAAGAUUUCCAUUCUUUUCUUCAUCACUUGAACUUGAAUCACUUGAAGUUGUAUCAUCCCACGUCUUUGCUUGCAAAGCCUUUUGUUUAUAAGCCUACUUUGAAGGACAAUCCGUCGCGAUGUGGCCGUAGCCUUUGCACUUGUAGCAUCGGAUCUCGCCUUCAAAUUCUUCCUUUUCUUUUGAAGCCUUUGCACGCUUCUUCUCGUUAGAAGAUGGAGACUUAGAAAACGUUUGUUGCUUUGAAGAUGAAGGUUUAUUCGAUUUGCUCUUUUGGAAAUUUCGGCGAAACUUUUUUGUGAGAAGCGCAAGUUGAUGUUCAAAGUCGGCAAGCGAUACAUCUUCAUCAGAUUCCGAAUCGUCUUCUUCUUUCUUUGUAGAUUUCAAUGCAACCCCUGUGCUUUUAGAAGAAGACUUGACAAAAGAUUGAUUAGUAGGAAAAGUCAUUUCAUAAGUUUGUAAUGCACCUACUAAUUCCUCGACUUUCAUCUCGUCCGGAUGUUUGACCGUUUCGAUCGCGGUUAUUUUAGCCCGAAAACAUUCCGGAAGAGUUCGAAGAAUUUUAUGAACAACUUUAGCAUCUGGGAUCUUCUGUCAUGCCCCGCGACCGACCGCCUAUUUGGCCGGGUCGCGGCGCCGCAACAGACCGCCGAACGGACAGGGUUUCCCCUGUACCGCGGACAGAGUCUCCCCUGUACAUUCAAGGCGUCGCAAUAAAUAUAAUGUACAAAGUUCCAACCAGGAACACAUUUCAAUCAAAGAUUGCAUAAGAAAGUAUCAAAAACAUAAUCUACUUGUUAUUACAAGCAUUCACAUUCACUAGAUACAUUUUACAUCACAAUUACUUAUUACAUUUAACUUCCAAAUACAAUCAAGCUUUUAUUACAAAUUAUUACAACUUGAUUCUUUUCAUUUUCUUACAUCCCUAAGUAAAGGCCGACUCGGGGUACCGCUAUCUCUGGUCUCGGUGGUAGGGCGCUAACUAUGAUGCUACGCCCUCGCCUCGCGCCGCCGCGCCGCUCACGUGUGAACCUGUAACACCCCAAAACCACGUGGGGUGAGAACCAACUCCAUGGUUCCCAGUGGGUACGGCCACCCAAGGGAAAAGCUCGACCAAUAGGUCCAAGGGAGGCAACUGCAAGUUAGUUCAAUAAACAGAUAGAUAUAUAUCUUGAUUAUGCAACGAAUAAAACCAUGCAUUGCCUCACGAAUGCAAUAUGAAGAUCAUGCAAUGAUGCGACUAUACAAUCAACUAGUAAUUCAAUCGAUUACUACUUUCAUCCAAUUGACAUUUAAGGUUUUCUGUCAUUUACCAUUUUAAUCAUAAAGUUUCAUCUAUCUUUACAAAGCUAACCGCCCGACUCGGUCUUGAGUCAAUCGUCUGCGGAGUACCGCACAAAGCCAGGCCCGAGGCGAAGGACGUCUCACUUGCACCUCGGCCUUAAAUCCCCUCAACUAGGACAUCACUAUAGCUCAUAAGUUUAUUACCCAAUCACUUGGCUAACCCGAAGGUUUCGCCCUCAACAAACUCACCAACCCAAAAUCCCAUUAACCGGGGAGAUACCCGCUACAACCCGGUGGGACCGUCCUCUGGGGAGAUACCCGCUACAACCCAGUGAUGUCGACUCCGGAGCACAUCGCCCGAGGGGGAGCUACCACAACCUCGAGCAAGGACUAAAGGUGAGUAUGAUCAAUGAUCAAAUCCAAAAUCUUGAGGAUGUCAAGUUCAAUCCAUUCCUUAACUUUAGGAAGACUAUGCUCAAAUGACCCUAACUCUAGGGUUGAAAUGUCAUAAUAUUUCCAUCAUUCUUUUCUUUGCAUUCUUUACUAUCACUUGUGUCAUAUACACUACUAUAUUCUUGGACUCAUGCCACACUUGUUUUCUAAGUGUUCAACAUACCAUAAGUGUUUCCACUAUACUAAUCAUAUGCCACUCGAUCUAAUAUAUAUAGAUUGUCCACGUCACAUAUCAUAGUUCAUAUGUCAUUGUUUUUCAAUGUCGAGUUCUCUAAUUCACCUAGAGUUUAUCGACCCAAGUUCAACAUGCAUGUGUCAUUUAACAUAAUCCACAAUAUGUCAAUAUACAUUCAUCUAGUAUAUUCUACAAUAAAUCAACAUGCACUCAUUCAUCAUAUUCCACAAUAUGUCUACAUAUAUAUGCCAACCAUUCAUAUGCCAUCCAACAUGUUCCAUAAUUUAUCAACAUGCAUAUUACCUCUAACAUAUUACUAUAACAUUAUUUUCAUGCAUUCAUGUAACAAUUAACUCAUGCAUUCAUCUAGCAUUAUGUAACUUGCAUCUUAUCAUUACGCAUUUCUACUUGGCAUUUACAUUAACAUGCAUCAUUUUCAUGCUUCAUUUACAUCUAUAUGCAUCAACAUGGAUUCUUAAUUUGCUUAGACAUAAAGGCGACCUAGUCGCUUCGGUAAGCACAACCCACCUUAACUCGCGUUCCGAUUGCUUGUCGACACUUGCAAUCACCCUCCCGCGGCACCCGUAUCCGGCACGGCCCGAACUCUUGUGCGACCUCCCGAACGGCCACCAAUCCGCGAUCCGUCUAUUCGAGAGUUUAUUCCCCGUUACCACGAUGCUCCAGAUCCAUUUUCAUGAUUUUUGGGCGUCUAUCCCGCGUGCUGCGGCUAUCUGUACCAAAACAGACCGUUUCGUCAAUAACUUCACGUACACUCGUCGGAUUGUCGAACCGAGCGCACCAACGCGUUCAUUAUACCCCCAAUUAGGUUUCUACAAGGUCAAUUUACCUCGAAAACACCCGGAGGUAAAAGCUCCAAAUUUGGUGCCCUAACAAUGCCAUAAUGAGAUUUCUUGGGAUUGAUCUUGUUGCUAAGCAUAAUCAAGCUUAGAACCACCAAAGAAGCUCUCUAAUAUCAUCUCCAACCUAAUUGGACCAACCCUAAGGCAUCUAAUACAAACCCUAGGUGAUCACCAUGAGAGCACCCUAAGCUUCCAUAGAUUUUCAUGGAGCUCAAGCCUCUAGAGAGGUUGUAGUCUUACAAGAAGUCCAAAACAGUAAAUCUUAGGGUAUAAAUCUAAACCCUAGAAGUAUUCUUGAGAAAUAACUCACCUUAGCCUAAGCUCUUCCAAGUCCACUAUGAAGGAGAGCUUCUUGAUCCUCCAAAACCCUCAAAAUCCACCUUCAAGACCUUCUUCUCCUUCUCUUUAAGCUUUGGUGGAGAGCUUUUAGAGAGAGAAAGGGAGAAGAAAUAAGGGAGAGAGGUGUUUGCUGCUGUGAAGGGGUGUUUGGGAACAUAUGGGGUGUGCCACAAUUGCAAAUAAGCCCCCCAACUAUUCUUAUUUGCAGUAGACUUCAUUGUGCUGUCGGGUCCCCCGCGUACCGGUACACGUCCCACGCGUACCGGUACACGGGCUGGUGUCACCGGUACACGACUCGCGCAACAGCCAAACCCGAGGCCCAUCUUCUCGAAUUUUACACUGCGUACCGGUACACGAAAUCCUGUCACCGGUACACACCCUUUUUUUCAGGACUUAGCCAAUUUUUCAGCAUUUUUACCGUUUUCGCUCGUUUUCGCUCUUUUGACAUCUGAUUCGUUUCAAAUCGAACCGAAACUCUCCAAAUAUGUUUUCAAGCAUGUUUUCAUCAUCUUUUCAUCCACGCUAAUGCUGGAUUUAGUCCAUGGUCCAACAUAGCCUUUCGGGUUCCGUUUUCGCACCUACGCGCACCGAAACGCCCGAUUACUCCAAAACUUCACCGAACUCCACCGGGACCAUUCAAAUGGCUUUUCAACUAAAUGUACACCGUAACUUGAAAGUUUUAGAAGUUCGAUAUGUUACAUCUUCUCUCCCAAAUUAGCACAUGUGUUAAUAAUAUCUUGAAGUCUAGUAUAAUAAUCGGUGAAAGAUUCAUGCUCCUCCAUACGAAUAGAAUCAAAUUGACUAGUCAACAUUUGGAGCUUUUGAAUUUUUACUAAACUAGUACCUUCAUGUGUAAUUUGUAGAGUGUCCCAAAUUUCCUUGGCGGUUUCACACGCCAAAACGCGAGUAAACUCCGUUUGUGACAAUGCAUUAAAUAAAGCGUUUAUGCCCUUGCCAUUAAACGAAGAUGACUCGUUUUCAUCUUUCGUCCACUUGGUCCGUGGUUUUGGCGUUUCAACAUUCUCAACAUUUUCAAUAGGAUGUUUCCAUCCAAAUUCAAUAGAUUGCCAAACGCGCUCAUCGAUUGCAAUUAGAAAAGCUCUCAUGCGAACUUUCCAAUAGGCAUAGUUUGUGCCAUCGAAAAGCGGUGGUCGAUUAAUGUUUCCACCUUUGGCCAUUAGAUAACAAUUUAUCUAGAUCCCGCUCUGAUACCAAUUGAAAGUUUUGAAGAGCCCAAGGAUCUAUUUAGAUUGUAUCUAUCACCUAGAGGGGGGUGAAUAGGUGAAAUAGCCAAAAACCACAAAUCUCAAUGCGAUAAAAAUAAAUGCGAAAAAUAAAAAUCACACCGAGAUUUACGUAGGAAAACUCCAAUUUGGAGAAAAACCUACGGGACCAACACGCGAAAAAAUAAUCCACUAAGAGAAAAGAUUACAAGGUGAUUACCGACUCUACGGACUCAACCUCUCUUAACCUCCUAUGGAUCUCGCGCAAUCCUCCGAGUUGUCCACGCCCUCACGUUCGAAUCCACGAACGCCUCGCACACAUCCAAAUCCACGAACGCCACUCGAAUCCACGAGCCCAUGAUCCGAAUCCACGAACCGCCGUCAAUCACGCCGAAUCCACGACGCCAUCAUGAAAAACAUCAUGUGUAUGGUGAUCCUUUGCUUAGAGUAUCGAUGAAAACCAGGGAAGCGAACUCCAAGCGAAGCGGAGAUCAAAUCGACAUAUUGAUAUGAAAAUCCAAUCUCUCGAUUUGACCUAAAAGAGGCUUUUUGUAGAAAAUAGAUUUUAGAUGAAAUCCGAACCUCUAGGGUUUCUCAAACAUGUAUUUUCGUGAUGCUUAAUAUGUUAGAGAAGCCCAAUAGCUUAUUUAUAGACUUUAGAAUCAAACCGGAGUGGGAUUAGAAAGUUUCUUUCUAUAUUCAGCACCUUGUACCGGUACAAGAGUAGCUGUCCAGGGUACAGCAUGACGGAAGAUUUUUCUGUGAAGCUUCUGUACCCUGAACAGACUGCAGCUUGUUCCGAAACAGGUCUUGUACCGGUACAGCCAUGAUGGCUGUACCGGAACAACCAUAAAAAAACUCAAUGGCAAUAGCCGAUGUCUGUACCGAUACAGCAACACCCUUGUACCGGUACAACAAUGCAAUUUUCGCUGAAAAUGUAUUGUUUCGAGUUUUACAAGCUCUUAGAAACUUUCUAAUCAAUUACAACUUGAAAAUUAUGAUUCUAAGAUCUAUAAUUAAGUAUGAAUCACCAUAAACAAGAUUUAAAGCUUACCUAAGCAUCGUGAUUCAAGUUUUGCGUGUUUUGCGUCCUUUCCGAUUCUUCGAAGUCUUGAAUUCUUCGAUCUUCAAUACUCCGCUCCGGACUUCUUCAAGACUCCGACUCGACCCACGAAACUUGCCAACACAUAGGACCUAACAGUUUCAACGCCGAAACACGAGAAAAUUCAGUUUAACUCAAAGCGUUAAACAAGGCAUUAAUACUCUUUUCGUUAAACGACGAUAGUUCAUUCUCUUCCUUCGUCUACUUAUUUCUAGGUUUGGGGAUGGUAGAAUUAUCGACUACUUCAUUAGGAUGUUUCCAUCCAAAUUCAAUUGCUUGCCAAACCCGCUCGUCAAUGGCAAUAAGAAACACAUUCAUACAAACUUUCCAAUAAGCGUAAUUAAUGCCACACGCACACACUCGAUCGAUCGAAGUCCUUCAACCGAUCACGCCGCAAACCUCGCAGCAACAACGCCUCGUCUCCACGAUGCGUCCACCGAAUCCAUGGCUUCACGCGAAAUCCACACGCACACACUCCAUCAGAAGCUCAUAGAGAUUAAUGAUUUGUGGUGAUUCAAAAACUUAGAAAGAUCAUAUGAAACGAGGAGAAACCUUCUAAUUCAUCAUAGAGUCGAUUCCCAAAGAAUCAUAAGAUUUAGAACCAAAGAAUCGAAUCGGCGAUCAAGAAUGAAAAACUUGUUUUUCAAAACAUAGAUCGAAACUCACAAAAACAAGUUUUAGGGUUUCUAAAACGUUUUCUUUCUAAGCUCCUUUCAUAUGAUACUCCUCAUAACAUAUUUAUAGGUUUAGAAGACUUCUAGAUAGAUUCGGAUUUCAAAAAUAUGGUUUUAAAGACAAACGACGGUCUCAGGGUCCGGUCCUCCCGAAGGGUCCGGUCCUCCAAGAUCCGGUCCUCGAAGCCAGGGACCGGUCCCCUCUGCGUAUCAAAAAAAAACAAGCUACAGGUUCCGGUCCCUCGCUCUAGGGUCCGGUGCCUCACAGCGUAACAUAAAUUUCAACGUACGGUGUCCGGUCCCUCUGUCCACGGACCGGUCCCUCACAGUUAUCCAGCAAGAGGACCUACGGGGUCCCUCUGUCCAGGGACUAGUCCCUGAACCUUGAAAGGCUCAGUUUUGUCUAGAUAUUACAUUUUAAAACCAUCCUAAGUCUUCUAAACACAUUUAUGAACAUAGAAUCUCACCACAAAUUAUUAACAUUCAUACCUGAGAUUCUGAGCAUCACGAACGAGUCUUUUGAUAUUGAAUUACUCAAAUCGUCUCUUCAACUUUUGUCUUCAACUCUUCAAGACUCCAUUCGACUUCACGAAAUCUGCAAACUCAGAAAAAUCCUUAACAGGUCGGGCCGCAAUCUGCUGUGCAAGGGCGGCACGGUGGCGCCGUAGCUGCACGGGAGGGGCCUCCGGCUUGGUUCCCGCAACGACGAUGCCAAUGGCGGCGGCGGCUUCAACCAGAACAGAGGGCAGGGGGGUGGGGGAGUUUCACCUUAGUGUAUAAGUAUGUAGAGAGACAGAAAGAGAGAUAGAGAGGAGGAGAGCUUCUCCUUGGUCGGUGCCUCACCGGAGUGCCGCAUCGGCGGCCCCAUGUAGAGGAAGUGGCGGUGGCUAUUAGGAAGAAGGGGGAAAGGUGUACGGGCUAGGGUUCCAAACCUUUGUACGAGCUAGGGUUCCAAACCUUUGUACACAUAUACAUAUACACAUAUAUAUAUACACAUAUACUCUUGUAACAAUUACAACUUACUCCUCAACUGUUAAUUAUUGCUCGCAACUCCACAGCUAAGUAUAUUAUGCAUCAUAGCUCUUCUCGCUAUAAAAUCUCGCCAUUAAAAGCACUAAAUUUCGCACUUUUGCGAAAACAUCCCCGUUUGAUUUCCUUUCUCUUGCUUCAAUCACGUCCUAAUUUUCACAGAAAUCUCGAAAUUUCGUAAAACUUGAAUCCACACGAUCCCCGCUGAGUCUAGUUUCACAUGAGUCCAUCCGCUUAUGAAAAUUCUAGAAUAUCUUACAUGAAAUGAUAACUCCUUCGCACAUUGUCCUUUUUUGACGAAUUGCAAAAAUUGCAGUUUAAUCCCUCAUGCUCACCCAUAGGUGCAUUUUGCUCAUAAGUUCCUCCACCUCAAAAAUCGUAAGAAUCGACACAUGAAAUGUUCUGCUUUUUGAAUAAAUACUCCGAUUUAGUAAAAUUGCACUUAUGCAAAAUUAUCUCCAAAAUAUCGCCAUAUCACGCCAAAUUGCAUCGAGGCCCAUUAUGGGACUUACCGCACUGGAUAAAACCAUGAAGGUGGCACUCUUUGUUUCAUCGAAAACCACAUCUAAUUGCGUAAUAAUACAUCAUCACUAAGAAUAUUCAUAGAGAAAAUACUUCGGUUACUACAAAGAGAGAGAGAGAGAGUUGAGCUGGAAUAUUAUCGGUAGCAAACGGACUCACGUUGCCACCUAUUUAUUUUCGAUGAUGGAAUCUUCAAAUCGACGAUCGACACCGUUUGUCACACCCCGGGGCCGAUUUUAAAAGCCUUUUUAUAAUGGAUACAAAUUUUGAAAUCAGAGUUGCGGAAAAUGUGCCAAUUUUUCUUUUAUUUCAGCCUGGCCCACGUGACAUACAGAUCCGCCACAAAUACAAAGUUCCUCUGGUCACAUAGACAAAGUCUCCUUUGUAUUUGCACGACGUACUAACAACAACAUCAGGAUCAAAACAACAACCUAUAUUUACCAAUCCACAAUCAACUCAUACCAUGCCAUUUCAUAUAGCUACUGAUCCUUAGAAAUGAUGCAUGCCUCUAAGCACUCCUUAGGCGUUGAAUGAUGCGAUGCACAGUACAACAGUCAUCCUAUUUAAAAAUGCUUCCCACUCGGAAGCUGUAUUUUUAAACUCUAUUUAACCAUCCAUAAAACCAUUCGAAAAUUUUUUUAAAACUGUUUCCUGCUCGAAAACUCCAUUUUGAAAACUGACUACCUCGAGGGGUAGAAAACCAUAAUGCAUAAAUCCAAUACCAAGAUGCAUAAAUUUUCAAUUGCAUGCAUAAUAAAGAAACCUCAACUCAACCCAAUUUACACAUACUCAAACAGCACUAUUGAUCAUCUAACUGGACCAUUCAUUAUUAAAACUACUAAGUGCGGUAAUGAAACAUAGCCAGCGUGACGAUUGCUAUUGCAGUCUAGCUAGUACGUCCUCCCGUCGUGCCAAAAAGUCAACUCCUUGUCCGAACCACCUGAAAAAAUGGGGGGUGAGAAACCACAAUCAAAGUUUUCCAGUGAAUACGACAGAGCCAAGAAGGCAAGUCGUAAUCACCGAAAAAUAAAGGAGAUAGAACAAUAGAUAUGGUAUGUUAUAAGAGCAACUACAAUAAUAAUAGAAGCAGAAUAGUAAAUGAGCAAGAAUCAAACAACUACUGUAACAGAAACUCAACUGAAUAGAUGCCUCAAGGUAUAUAAUCCAAAACCAAACCCAAUCUGGUGCCUGCCAUAUUAGUCUGCAGACCUCAAGCGUUGCCUGUCACAUUGCUUGCACCGACCUGAUUCAUCCGCCCACUAGACGACCCAUCCGGAUAAGUACACCUCCGGUCCGUGGCCAAACCAACUUGGUGUCAAUGAAUAAAUCCAAGUGCUAUGACUAAAUCAUGCUGAUAUGCUCAAUGCGAAAAUCGGCGGAAAGCCGAUGCCUUGGCCGAAGCUAGAUACAAGGGGGUACAAUGCCGAACCACGAUCAACUAAAUCGAAACAUACAACAAAGGUGUCAAUGUAUUGCCUGGACCCAAAGUCCACAGAUAUACAAUAUAUGUAAGCCUACUCUACAUGUCUAGCCACAACUAUCAUCAUGCAAUCAACAAGAUAUAGAUGAACGAACAAUAAACAAAAUAACUGACAUGUAGAGACUACAAUGCUGAUAUAGAAGAACAGAGGAAAAUGAAAUGAUCUUAUCGACUACCAGCUCGAAGCACCCACCUAUACCGUACGAAGUACAUGGGUUGUCGACCGCUUGCCGCUGCCUUCCGCUAUCACCCGGACCUAUGCAUAGUCGCAACGAAGCCGUAAUUAGCCUAAACAUGUAAAGUACUAACGCCUUAGACUCGACGUGAUUUUAAUAGUUGACUAAACGGACUUUCCCAGUUUUCGACCGAUGGUCACCGAAGAAUCAUCCGAAUGCCACGCCGAUUCGACGGAAUGUCGCACCAACACACGGGGUGAUCCGAAGUAUACACCACAGCUAUUCUACACUGCCCGCUACCCCAAAGCAUCAUUUUAAUGCCCUUGGGACAAUCGCUCAAUUAGUGCGCUAAAACAAAAACUCGGGAUUUCGGAAACUAGCCGUUUGGCUUCCGAGGUGCCGUAUUUGGUCCCGGAACCCUCCAUGGCUUUUUUUGCUGCAAACCAGGGUGUCCAACCUUCCCCCAGCGCUUCAGAAAUCAGCCACAAGCCUGCUGUGAACAGCAACAGCAAAUACGACGCGAGAUCGCACCCGAAAUCGCCCGAAAUUUGCAUUAUCGAGCUCUGUUGAGCCUCGAAACAUGCUAAAACAUUCCAGAUCUAAUCCUAGCUUAUUUGCUGUCCCCAAACACUCAGUUUUCGGCAGCGGAAUAGCAGCACAUCAUUUGGUGCAAGAGUGAUUGAUUCUAAGCGGUCUAUGUCACGACUGGGGUCCCAAUCGUUGCCGUUUAGGCUCCAGAAACCUCCAAUUCGCAAAGCAUCAAUUUGUGAACCCCAAGGACUCACCAACCUCUGCCCAAGAGGUCUAACACUCACUACAAACAGCAGCAAUGCAAGUCCUACAACCGAAGCCUAAAACAAGGCUCCACGACACCUACAACGUCAAUAAAUGCGCCGAUUGCCCCCGAUAAUCGAACCAUGGGGUUUUCGGGUAUCGGAUCUUGAAUGACAGCAUUACUAUUUCGAUACCCAUGCUGCCAGGAGCAGCCACAAUGCGAAAGCAUCGCUGCGAUGCAACGAUGUGCAUUUGCGCGCAACAAACGGCAUUAAACGGACGAUAGCUACGACAAGUGCGUGAAUAGAGCCUUACCGAUGCUCCAGGGACCACGGGAACUCAGCGAAAGUGAGAUCCACGUCCUCUUGUAAGUGCUGGACUCCUCUCUUAACAGUCCCAAAUGAGGAUCGCGCUCGCUGCGCGGCGAAACUACAAACAUUGCCUUAUCGUAGCAUGCGGACGAUAGAUCGUCGCGAUCUGCGAACCGGCCGAGAAAUGCUAUGAAUCCAGGUGAGCCUCGUGAUGUAAAGGACGAGUGAGGGAGAGUGCUUACCUCAGUUACACCCCAUGUGGUUCAAAUCUGGUAGGAACGCAAAUCGGUCUAAGACAAUGCUUCGAACGCGGCUGCUGGAUUGCUUCUUCUCAGCAGUAGUUUUUCAGCAGUUCGCAGCAGUAAAGGAAAGCUUGGGAGGGAAGAUGCAGGUUGGAAAAGAUUCAAGGAGGCCUUGACUAUCGCGUACGAAGCGCAGCAACCCAACUCGGGCAAGAUCAUCCCGAAUCAAGCGCACGCGGACAGGGACGGCCGAGGAAGGUCGACGGCUGUGUCGGGGAGGAAUCAAGAGGGCCCUCAAAUCUCCAAACUGAUAGGGGAGAAGAGAAGGGCUCAGAUCUGGGAUCAAGAGAGAAGGGCUCAGAUCUGGGAUCAAGAGAGAAAGAGAGAGAUAAGAGGUGCGGCCUCUCCCAAUUGGCGUUCCGGCGAUCUAGAAGGCCGACGGUGGUCGGCGAAGAUGCGGGUUGCAGUGGAGAGGGGCUGCGGCUGAUGUGGGCGGAAGGUUGUGGCAGGGGGAGGAGAAGGAGGCGGCUAGGUUAGGGUUUAGAGAAAAGAAACCCUAGCCUCCAAGCCGUGCAUGAUAUAUUUCAUGCGAAAUUGCGCAUAACACCCCCCUCCCCCGGCAAUAGAUUUCUUUGCGAGUCCCUCUCAUGAGGUGUAUUUUGCAUAGAAGCACCUCCAUAAUCAGCCCUAUUUAGAUCCAUACAUAAAAUAAUAGGUUUUCCUUUUUGAAACCCAAGUAGCGCAUUGCUGAAUUAUUAAAAUCUGCCAAUUUCUCCGCACUCAGGUUGUCGAAUCCAAAAUCCGACUUCAUCAUGUGUCUCGGCACUGCCGGACCAUCGAAAACAACCUAUUGGAUCGAUCAAAAUGGUGCCUGAUUCGCAUCCGAAGCUAAUGUUAUGCGUGUGCUGCCGAACAAAAUGCUGAUUAUUAUUCACUUAAGUUAAAAUUGAAAAUCGCGUAGCAGCUUCAUUUUAAUUCGUUUUUUGUUGAAAUUUGGCAUGCAAUUUUAGAAUUAAAUUACACAUGAUAACAUUUAAAAUGUAUCCAAUUUACAUCAAAAAAACUUUCAAUUCUCACAUUAUCCCCCCCCUUAAGGAAAGUUUCGUCCCUAAAACUUGCUCACAUACCCACAGAAAAUAAAUUCGGAUAUCGCUCCACUAAUGCACCAAGCAUGCCCUGGCAAAAAUGCUCCUAAACUUGAGUAUCAACACUCACCUCGGAGGCUAUCACCUCCCAUAAGUCUGAACUAUAAUCAGACAAAGCCAAACCCUAACUAUCAGAACCUAUCGAUGGCCUCCGACUCACUUAGGUCCAAGACCUAACCUUCCGCCUAGACCAAAAGGUUUAAGGCUGCCAUAACCAGUUGAGCCCGGCAAUUUAGCCUACUCAACACUCAAACGUACAACCAAAGCAUGUCCGUCACUAGGUGAACAGGGUUGCCUCUCGCAACAUGCGACCGUAACCACCAGUGAUGCCCAACAUCUGUCUCUACGAGACUCUGUCGCUGCCAUCCCUAAGGGACCCUAACGAUCGAUGUUCUUAGCAAUACUAGUGCCAGUCUCAUCGAGACUCCAACGUACCUCUUACCAAGUGACCGAACAGCAAUCCAAACCAUGGUAUUCACGAAAAAACCAAAUCGUAUACCCUGUACAAUAUCACAAAUCAUGACAUCUGAGCCAACCACCAGGCUCAUAAGGUGGUCAAGAUGACCAUCGCCUCUCUACAAGACAGUCUAAGAGAUAGUCUUACAAUAGAAAGUACAGACCCAAUCCAGGUAUUCCCCAAAAGAGGUAAGGUAUCUUCUCCCGACUUUAAACACUACGUUGUCUGCAGCCAACGUACUUAUCGAAAGAAAAGUAAAAUCAGGAUCACAACAACAUACUUAUCGAAGAGUCUCCUUUAUAUUUGCACGGCGUACCAUCAACAACAUCAGGAUCACAACAACAACCUACAUUUACCAAUCCACAAUCAACGCAUGCCAUGCAUUUCCAUACAGCUAGCGAUCCUUAGAAAUGAUGCAUGCCUCUAAACACUUCUUAGGCGCUAGAUGAUGCGAUGCACAGAACAAUAGUCAUCCUAUUUAAAAGUGCUCCCACCCGAAAGCUUUAUUUUUAAACUCUAUUUAAUCAUCCAUAAAACCAUUCAAAAACUUUUUUAAAACUAUUUCUUACUCGGAAACUCCAUUUUGAAAAGCGACUACCACGAAAGGUAGAAAACCACGAUGCAUAAAUCCAAUACCAAGAUCCAUAAAUUUCUAAUUGCAUGCAUAAUAAAGAUAACUCAACUCAAACCAGUUCACACAUACUCAAACAGUACUAUUGAUCAUCUAACUGAACCAUUCAAUAUUAAAACUACUAAGUGCAGGAAUAAAACAUAACCAAGGUGACGAUCGCUACUGCAGUCUAGCUAGUACGUCCUCCCAUCGUGCCCAAAAGUCAACUCCUUGCCCGAACCACCAUCAAGGUUUUCCAGUGGAUACAACAGAGCCACGAAGGCAAGUCGUAAUCACCGAAAAAGAAAGAAGAUAGAACAAUAGAUAUAGUAUGAUAUAAGAGCAACUACAGUAGUAAUAGAAGCAGAAUAGUAAAUAAGCAAGAAUUGAACUACAACUAUAACAAAAACUCAACUGAACAGAUGCCUCAAGGUAUAUAAUCCAAAACCAAACCCAAUCUGGUGCCUACCAUAUUGGUCUGCAGACCUCAAGCAUUGCCUAUCACAUUUAUUGCACCGACCUGAUUCAUCCGUCCACUGGACAACCCAUCCGGAUAAGUACAUCUCCAAUUGGUGGCCAAACCAAUCUGGUGUCAAUGAAUUCACUCAAGUGCUGUGACUAGAUCAUGCUGAUAUGCUCAAUGCAAAAACUGGCAGGAAGCCGAUGCCUUGGCCGAAGCCAGAUAUAAGGGCGUACAAUGCCGAACCACGAUCAACUAGAUCGAAACACACGAUAAAGGUGUCGAUGUGUUGCCUAAACCCAAGGUCCACAAAUAUAUAAUAUAUCCAAGCCUGCUCUAAAUGUCCAUCCACAACUAUCAUCAUGCAGUCAACAAGAUAUAAGUGAAAGAACGAUAAACAAAACAACUGACAUGUAGAGACUACAAUGCUGAUAUAGAAGAACAGAGGAAAGUGAAACGAUCUCACCGACUACCAGCUCGUAGCACCCACCUAUACUGUACGAAGUACACCAGUUGUCGACUGCUUGCCGCUGCCUUCCGCUAUCACCGGGACCUAAGCAUAGUCGCAACGAAGCCGUAAUUAGCCUAAACAUGUAAAGUACUUAACGCCUUAGACUCGACGUGAUUUUAACCGUUGGCCAAACGAACUUUCCCAGUUUUCGACUGACGGUCACCGAAGAAUCAUCCGAAUGCCACGCCGAUUUGACGGAAUGUCGCACCAACACACGGGGUGAUCCGAAGUAUACACCACAGCUAUCCUACACUGCCCGCUAUCCCACAGCAUCAUUUUAAUGCCCUUGGGACAACCGCACAAUUAGUGCACCAAAAUAAAAACUCGGGAUUUCGAAAACUAGUCGUUUGGCUUACGAGGUGCCGUAUUUGGUCCCGGAACCCUUCAUGGCUUUCUUGCUGCAAUCUAGGGUGUCUAACCUUUCCCCGGCGCUUCACAAAUCAACCACAAGCCUACUGCGAACGGCAGCAGCAAAUACGACGCGAGAUCGCACCCGAAAUCGCCUGAAAUUUGCGUUAUCGAGCUCCGUUGAGCCUCAAAACAUGCUGAAACAUUCUAGAUCUAAUCAUAGCUUAUUUGUUGUCCCUAAACACUCAGCGUUGGGCAUCGGAAUAGCAGCACAUCAUUUGGUGCAAGAGCGAUUGAUUCUAAGCGAUCUAUGUCUCAACUGGGGUCUCGAUCGUUGUCGUUUAGGCUCCGGAAAUCCCCGAUUCGUAAAGCGUCAAUUUGUGAAGCCGAAGGACUCACCAACCUCUGCCCAAGAGGUUUAACGCUCACUGCGAACAGUAGCAAUGCAAGUCCUGCAACCGAAGCCCAAAACAAGGCUCUAUGACACUGUCACGCCUCAGGGUUCUUUUGUAAAGCCAUUUUGAAUGAAAGGGCAGGUUGAAAUAAGGUCAGCGAAAAAUGCCCAUAAUUUUUUUUUUUUCAACUUGUUCCCAGGACGUAACAGACCCGCCACAGAUACAAAAAUCUCUAUGUCCACACUGGCGAAGUCUUUCUCAUAUCUGCGCGGCGUACCAAUAUAAUAAUUACAACAACACACUCAUCCAUUCACUCAAACAGCAUACACAAUGCGGAUGUCAGAAUACCAUUCAGCUAAUCAUCCUUACGAUGAUGCAUGCUCUAAACACUCCUUAGCCGAAGGAUGAUGCAAAUGGACAUACAACAAUCAAUCCUAUUCUGUGAAAGUGUUUCCAACCCGAAAACUAUGUUUAAAAAAAUACUAAACAUCAAUAAAUCCAAAAGUCAUUUGAAAACUGUUUCCCGCAUGAAAACUCACUUUUAGAAAACCGUCUACCACGAAGAGUAGAAAACCAAGUACGAUAAAACCACCAACCGUAUGCCUCAAAUAAACCACAACGAUCACCAUGAAUUAUUGAAAUUCACCAAGCAUUCACAAAACUCAGAAAUCACCAAGUCCGACAAUCAAACAAGCAAUUAACUGAACAACUGAACCACAUAACUCUAGUUUAUUAACCAAUAAGAAAAGAGGGGUCAAGACAUGGCAACCGUAACCGAAGGAUGACUGGUCGGAACCCCUGUAGCUCACUAGCUAUCGCGCCUCCCACCAUCCCAACUCCCACCACCGAAAUCACCUGAAAAUGGAUAAGGGUGAGAAUAUGUAAACAUGUCUCCCCUCCCAGUGGGUACUGCAAGCGGACGAAGGCGGGGCGUACUCACCGGUAAGGAGGAACAACAGAUAGUUAUGUAUAUAACAAGUAUAGUGGCGAAUAAUGGAGAACAGAUAUAAGCAGGUAUGAACCACUACUGCUACUGCAAAUCAUGAACAUAUGCAUCAACUGUAGAUAAACUGAAAACCCAAUCACCAUGCCCUAUAGAUCCGCAGAUCGCAGGCUAUGUCACAUUAUGCUCAGCAGAUAUAAAUCAAAGUACAGUAGUGAGUAAUGCAAAAUAGGUAUAAAUAGGUAUGAACAACUACUGCUACUACAAAUAAUAAGCGCAUGCAUCAACUGUAGAUAAACUGAAGACCCACUCACCGUGCCCUAUAGAUCCACAGAUCGCAGGCUAUGUCACAGUGUGCUCACCCACCGGCACACAACCUCUGCAAGUACCUGGCAAGAGCUCACGGGUCUAGUAGACAACCACUUUUCCGGAAAAGAACACCCCCACGAUGGCCAAACUACUGGUGUACGUGAAGUGCUAAAUGAGCUGUGACGAUCGAUGCAAAAUGCUCAAUCCAUAGGACGACAACAAGCCGAGAAUAGCAACGACUAACACAAGUCCAAGAGAUCGCUCGGAUCACCGAGCCGAUCAACACUGACCAAUCAGGUCUCAAACUGUAAGGAACAUAAGUAACGACCACUCAGGUCUACUAGGAUGGAACAACUCAACAUUCUCCUAAAGAUAUGCAAGUACUGACCACUCAAAGUCAACUAAAAUAUAUGCACGAGAAUCGACCAAUAGAUCACAAGAAUGUCACGUCAUGCAUCAGUAUAAUCUCAAACUAGCCGUCAGCCACAAGCCGACAAUCCUAUCCCUCGGGGUACACUGACCUCAAAAGUCAUCAAACGACAAGAGUCAUGGAACCGACCGACUAGGUAACAAGAGUGUCACAAUGGACGAGAUGCAAACAAUGUCCGCUCUACUUCUAGAUCAUGAUAGCGAGUAUAGAAAAAGAAUAAGUAGAGCAAUACAUAAAGGUUCACAUGGUGUCAGGCUCAACAAUGAUAAACAACUGUAAUAAGAGAGAUAAGAUAGAGAAAAUAUCAUCGAGCAUGCACCACUAGACCAACUCCGAGUCGAAGUACCCACCUGUACAUAUGUAGCACAGGUCUCUCAACUACAGAAGAAAUAUCAACCGAACCUACGAAGGGUCCACUGGUUAGAAUCUAACCCACGAAUAUGAACCACUAACCCACAAUCCCCACGUAUAAACCCAUGGGAAUCGGUUUCUCAAAAUCGAUUGCCGGAACUCGCCAGAAGUCUCGAAAAUCACACCAGGACUCCGCCAGGAUCCACGAACUAUCCCGGGACUCACCGGCUCGUGUCACGAGUCAUCCGCUAUCACAUAACACCAUAAUUUGUGUGUCCCGGCAGCAAACGCGUAUCCACACAUCGAAACGAUUAACAUCGGAUAACCGUUCCGAUCCGGAUUUUCGAAAAUGUUAAUUUCGACACCGGAACCCACCGUCGCUCACUUGUCAUCUUCGAACCCUCGAAACGAUGUAAGUAACCAGCCAAUAAGGCUCAGCGACAACAAAAAUCAUAGUGAGUCAUUGUCGGACAAAAUUCAAACUGAAAACGCGUUCCGUCGGCAGAUUUCACCGAAAAACGCACCGAAAUCGAUAUUCAAUUUUUGCGAAGGGCGUCUAACCUUGGACAAUCAGUCCAAAGGUCACCCGCAUCCCACACGUACUGCCCACAGCAGCCAUGAAGUGCAAAAUUGCAUAAAAGUCCCUACUAAUACGUAAAAUCAUGAUAUUUUAUGUGAUUUACUGGGUUUUUCGGCUCGAUACCCCAAACCGAGGGCUUUCGAGGUCAGCCGAGACAGGUACUGACAAGUCUCGACAUGCCGGAGGCCGUGCUCAUGAUCCGGAGAAUAAACGUCCACUGUAGGAGGCACAAGAGCAAGUCAAAGUUCAGCGAACCUUGCGCACUGAAAGUAAAACGCUUCUAAUUCGCUUAUCCGGCACUCGUUGACCCAAAAAAAGGUGAGCACAAUGAUCAGAACUGACUAACGAUCACCGUGCUGACCUUCGGAGGCAUCAGAACAGCCCUGGGUCGCCGGAACAGCAGAGACAACCAAGAACAGUGCGGAAACAGCAUACUAAAAACUUACCGGGAGGGUGGAGGCUCGACUACGGCCGGGCGGCGGGCACGUCGGCGGUAGGAAGGUGUGGCCAGUGGAAUGAGGCCCGGGCGCGCGUUGGCCGAUGGAGGGAGGCAGCGGCGACAGCAGCGGAGCUGCCCAUGCCCGCACGGGUUGACGGAGAGCUCGUGUCACGCCCCGGGACCCAGCAGAAGCCCGCCCGGCACGUGUCCAGACCCGCCAUACGUCUAAAAUAUAUAAGGUGUCUAGUAUAAAACGAUAAAUAAAGCAAUGAUAAAAGAACAUCUAGGAGUAUCAGAGCAAAGUACAACUAGAUUCUACAAUAGAGAAAUAAACAAACAGCUAAAAUCCACUAAGAAAGAACCAUAAAGUAGUACAACAAAAUCCAAAUACAAGUGCUAAGAGAAAUACAAUGGUGGUCUCUAUACAUAGGAACAAGACUCUCCCUCACCAAAACUCAAAAGAGAGUAAACCACCUAGGAGCAAAAGUAAGCUCCGCUAUCUAGCUACGCGACCCCUUUGCCACGAUCCCGUGCCUCCACCGGUGCUGAAGGCUCUGAAAUAAAAUCAUUAAACAAAGGGCGUGAGAACUAUUAAAUAAUAGUUCCCAGUGGGCAAUUACUGACUUCAGUGAAAAGCUGGCUAGGCUCGAAAACUAAGCAGGUAAGUGCGAAUAAAUAAGCAAUAUGAAUAACAAGUAUUUAAAUAUAAAUACUUACUAUACCAUGAUAUCUCUACUUAGCAUGAAUUUGCAUAAGUAUGAUGCUAUUCUAACAUGUAUAUGCAUGAAUAUACAACCAACAUGAUAAUCCCAAUGUAAUCUGUAAGAUGUCAUUGUUUACUAUUCUAGUCAAUGCCCACUUGGCAUGUUAUAUCACUAGAAUCCCAAUCCUGUAGGACCUACCCGUAGGUAGUCUGGCCUGCGCCGUGCCUAAUGGCCCCGUAGUAGUCAACAUCCCCACUCUAGGAAUGAACCUCCCCCACGGCAUCCCAUUUUGGCGCCCAAUCCCGCACUGGCGAGCAUGUGUCGCGAUGGCUAUCUCCGGAGUGCCGGCUUGUAGGGAGCGACCCUCACAAGCAUGUGCGAAUGAGCACAAUGGCAAGCAAGCGUAAAAGUCCGUAUCAAGUCUCAAGUCAUCAUGUCUAAAACAUGAAAUGUAGCAAAUAUCUCAAUGGCCUAUCACUAUGUCAUCAUGUCUAAAACAUGGAAUAUAGUCGAUGUCACAAUGGCCUAUCACUAUAUCUCUACAUUGCAGUUUAACAGUUUACUAGUUCGGUGCCCCUAUAUGGCACUUUUGUUCGCUUUGCCCAAACAUGAGUUAGGAGUUCAAGAGUACACAAUUCUAGUUCUUUUCAUCAUAUGAGAAAUGUUUCCAACCCACAAGAAAGAAUACUACUCACACGCAUGUAUAAUACACAUAAGGCUCUACUAUAAAGAGUUGAAUUUUCAUAAUAUAUAGCGCAUGCAUUUUAAGUAUUCUAAAAUUCAUAUAAAUCCUAUCUAGCAUGAAUAUGCAUGCGAUACGAUAAACGAAAACAUUUAAUCACUUAGGAGAAGAUUUCUCCUAUUCUAAUGAAGUCAAACCUACCGUGACUCUCGCAACCCUUCGUUUCGCCGAACGAAGUUGCCCACUACUCUCCUAGCACCCUAAAGGUAAGGAAAAGAGAGAUACACGAACGUUACGAACAAUUCUAAGAUCGAUCAUUAACCAACUCAAGCAAAAGGGCGAAAACUCACCGAAUGCGAAGAAACCUCUCUCGAUCUCCAAAAGGGAAUUAGAGGCCCUCUAAUCCAAUCUAAACAAAGGUUCUAAACCAAUCAAUUUGGUUCCAAAAGCCUCAAAUCCAAAAUUCCCAAAAUAAAUCCUAAUUUCCAAUUCUAGGGUUUCAUCUAGUAGAAUCUACUAAAACAUGAAUCAAAGAGAAGAUUAAGUUUACUAACCUCACUAGAAGCUUCAAAUCACCCAAGAACCCGGCUAGAGUUGAAGAUCUUCCCUCCACAAAGCUCCAAUCACGAGCUCAAGGCUUCUCCCAUGGUGAAAACCAACAAGAAGCAAGAAAAAGCAAAGAGGAGGAGAUAAAAACUAGCUAAAAUCCAUCAAAAAUAGAGAAGAAAUCAAGAGGAAGAGGUCUCACCUUGCUCUCCACAUUCUAGGGCUCAAAAGGGCACUCUGAGGGGGUUGAGGUGCUAUAUAUAGAGUUGCAACAAUUGCAAAUACAACCCCUAACUAAAACAGCCCUUUCUGCAAAGGGUACCAGUACACGGGAAAGUGUACCGGUACAAACCUAGUGUACGUGCGAACCCGAGGCUCUGGUUGGCAGAAAAACCCAUUUAUACCGGUACAACCAUCAAGGUGUAACCGGUACAACCAUCAAGGUGUAACCGGUACACUUUCUGUACCGAUACAACCAUCAAGGUGUAUCGGUACACAGCUCAGCAAAAUGCAACCCGAGAGCAGCCUAAGUCCAUCACUUUGGUGACCUUAGCGUUACUUUAAAUACCACAAUUCUCGGGAUACGAGCCAUAAAUCGGAACACUGUCAACAACCCUCCAGAAUACCUGAAAAAACUCAGAACACUGACCAAACACUCGAACCUUGCAAUUUGCAAAGGUCCAGUGUGUUACAGCUCGGCUCCAGUCCGGCCGGCAGGGGGCUCCGACGAAAGGAGUGCCAACGGCAGUCGAGGGUGGAGACCAAGGGAAGCCGAUGCUCAGUUCGACUAGCGAUGGGAGGCGGCAGGAGUUGCGAGCCAUGAUGCCCUAGCCCGCAAGCACCCAGGGAAGAAGCUCUGGCUUCAUCUCUGGCAGCGACGGCCAUAGGGCAGUGCCGGUCGGCGGCGGGGGUCCCCCGGGGACCCGGGAAGGGAGUUGCAGCACCGGGCGAUGGCGGCGACGGUGCGCGACCAUGCUUCAGCCGCCCAGGCUCAGCUUGGUUAGAGGGAUGCCGCAGGGCGCCCUAGGCCCACGGCGGCGACGGCGACUGCUCCGGUCGGGCGCGGGGAAGGCCGAGGGCCAAGAGUAUGGUGGGCCAAGCCUCGGGACAUGUGGGGAGGUUGACACAAACUUUAGCUACACGCAUCUGGCCAAGAUGCUCCCAGCAGGUCGGCUAGGGUUGGGGCGACGCCGGCGGCAAGCAGAGGAGGCAAUGCUGCCAAGAACCACCCCUCAAACCCAAUAGGAAGAUGGGGAGAUGGAUAUGGUGAGGGAAGAGAUGAAGAAAAGCUUGGCAGCCACUCUGGCUGGCAGCGGUAGGUCAGCGGCGGCGGCGGCGGCAGCGGCAGCUGUGCUCAUGGAGAUGAACAGAGGGAGGGGAUGGCGGCUGGGAUCUUAGCUGAAGGUGCAAAGGCUAGGUUAGGGCUUUUACCUUGCAAACCACCUUUAAAGCACUCCAACUUCGCACGUAUCACCCUCCAAAAAGCGAUAUUUUUGCUGAGGUCCAGACCAUGUGUGUAUGACCAUCUCGCGCAUCAGCCCGCCGAGUCUUAUAGAAUUCUGCGCAUAAAAUAUAGGAGGUUUCGCGCGAAAAGCAAAAACAUCAAUCCGACCCUUCUCGAUAAACACAUAAUAUCUGGCUAUCUGUCCGUUGGAUUUGCGAACGGACUACGCCGACGCAUCCAACACGACUGAGGCAUUGAACUCACAAUUUUGUUUCACCCGAUAUAUUCGCCAAUUUUCAACGAAACCCAUCCACUCUCUAGAUUUCCAAAAACCAUACUUAUGCAAAUGUACAAAUCUAAUAAACCCCCUCUAUCUUGAAAUUCGUGCAUCAAAACCAAAAUCCA